UUAUAUAGAAAAACGGAUAGAGAGAUAGACCGAAAAAAAUAAAUCAUCAUCAUCUUCAUCUCAAACACACACAGAGACACGAGAAAAGAGAGGCACAGAUAGAGGGAGACGGACAGAACAAAUAACAAAAUAUCCUCAUCAUCAUCUUCUUCAAAUUUUUUAUUCACCUUAAGCACACACUCCAUUAUUGGGGGGCUCUGUUUUUCGUUUCCACCAAGCUAGACACAUACUCAUCUCCAUCAUUUUCCAUUUUUACUUUUUAACACCCAAAUCACAAAACCACCGUGAACCACCCAGAAACCGAGCAACCCAGUUCCACCGUCCAAAUACCACCACUGUGUUUCCAUCGCUAAACCAACCAACACCCACCGUUAAAUCAACCACCAUCCCCUUCAUGCCCUGCUACUAAUAGCUUUAGCCGAUUUUCUGUUUGGAGCUCUAGGAUUUUUAGCCGUUCACAUUGUGUUAAAGUUUGGGGUUUCGUUUGAGUUCCCGUAGUUAAGGUCGUUAGUUGAGGUUCUUCUGUCGAGAUUUCCGGUCGGCUCCGUUGCUCAGUUCAAUCAUCUGAGUUGCAGCAAUUUCAGAGUUAAAUUGAUAUACACAGAGGACCCACCUGAAGAAUGGAAGCAAGUCAGGACCCACCUAAAGAAUAGAAGCAAGUCAGGAGCCCGCCUGGAGAAUAGAGACAUCUUUAAACUUCAAGUUCAGGAGCCCGCCUGAAAAACAGGGUGUAUUUUCAAGUUCAGUCAGAAGUAGCAGGUGCCCCGUCUGAAGAAUAGGGUUUACUUUCGAGAUCAGAACGCUUAUCUCACCACUUGGGAAAGCAUGAAGAUUCAAGUCAAUAUUCAAGAGAAGCGGCAUAGAUAGGAUCUUGUACUUGUAUUUUCUUUUUAACUUUUGUUUUCAUUUUGAUGUAAUAACAGGAGCCGCGGACCGGAACCUCAACAGGACCUCACUUGACUUCCCAACUCAGUAUGUCUUGUCACCCUUCUUACCUCUUGAACUACACGAGAUCUGAUUCCCUUAUAACCCGGGAUAUGUAGGAUGCCCAAGACCAAGGCUCGGUCACAUUUUUGUUCUGUUCCUUUCUCGUCCUCCAAAUGAUAGUCGGGUCAAAAUUUGUCUCAUUGUCUACGUCUUUGUCUGAGAACUCUUCGCGUCCCCAAUCGAAGAGGGACAGGCUGUAGACACCUAAUUUUGACCCUCCCCGAAUGUUUCACCUUAUAGUGUCUAAAUAUUUCUUUUAAUUUUUAUUUUUUGAUGUGUUGAUUUUGUUCUAUUUUUAUUUUAGUAGGCUUAUUUGCAAGAAUCAAAAAGCAAAAAAUAUAUUUACUAUUUUUAGAGUAUAAGUUUUGGGUUCAAAAGAAUGAAAAAUUACAAAAAUAUGCUUUUUUAGGAUUUAAUUUUGUUUAGCUAGUUAUUUUCUUUUAAAUAGUAUAUUUUUCUCUAUCUAGGAAUAGUUAUUAAAUAUUUCUCAUUUUUACAUUUAAAUAAAAGGUAAAUAAAAAAAUGACAAAAAGCGAGAAAGGAGCAAAUGUGAAUAUCACCUCACCACGAAAUAACAAAGGGUCAUACCAAAUCUUAUAACAAAAAGAGGGAAGGGGUCACGUUUUUUUCCUAAUCUUGGGAGAGGAUAUUUUGUGUGGGACCCCGCCCAUUUCCAUCAUCAUCAGUAUAUCACACAAUACGGGGUGGAAUGAUUUUUUAUAUAGAAGGAUAGAGAGAUAGACCGAAAAAAAAAUCAUCAUCAUCUUCAUCUCAAACACACACAGAGACACGAGAAAAGAGAGGCACGGAUAGAGGGAGAAGGACAGAACAGAUAACAAAAUAUCCUCAUCAUCAUCUUCUUCAAAUUUUUUUAUUCACCUUAAGCACACACUCCAUUUUUGGGGGGCUCUGUUUUUCGUUUCCUCCAAGCUAGACACAUACUCAUCUCCAUCAUUUUCCAUUUUUACUUUUUAACAUCCAAAUCACAAAACCACCGUGAACCACCCAGAAACCGAGCAACCCAGUUCCACCGUCCAAAUAGCACCACUGUGUUUCCAUCGCUAAACUAACCAACACCCACCGUUAAAUCAACCACCAUCCCCUUCAUGCCCUGCUACUAAUAGCUUUAGCCGAUUUUCUGUUUGGAGCUCUAGGAUUUUUAUCCGUUCACAUUGUGUUAAAGUUUGGGGUUUCGUUUGAGUUCCCGUAGUUAAGGUCAUUGGUUGAGGUUCUUCUGUUGAGAUUUCCGGUCGGCUCCGUUGCUCAGUUCAAUCAUCUGAGUUGCAGCAAUUUCAAAGUUAAAUUGAUAUACACAGAGGUCCAAUUCUAACUAUACUCAAUGGUUCAUUUCUUUGUUAUUCUAAAUGCUUGAAUAGAAGUGUCCCAUGUUUGAUUAGCCUACUUUUUUUAGCUUUAUCAUUUGCUCUUUUUCUAACUAUUUAGAAGCACGAGUUUGGGCCAUUUUGGUCGUCUGCUUCGUCGUCGAGUCGUAAAAAAAAAAAAAAAGGUGUGGACCCCACCUAAACAUUAACCAAUAUUAAAAAAAAGUGUGGGCUCCAGUUAAAUCAAGCAAUAUUUAAAAAAUGAAUCUCAUAUUAAAAAAACAAACAAUGUCAAAAAAAAAUGCAUCUCAUAUUAAAAAAUCAAACAAUAUUUAUGUAAUUUCCAAAGUAUCUCGUUAAAUCAAUAAUGAUGGAUUCAUUGCCACAUGCGUAUCAAUCCAUUAGUGAGAGCAAAUGAAAUUAUUGUACAGCAACAUACUUAAAAUAUUUAUAUAUUAAAAUAAGAUAGAAUUUAAUUACUUUUUCAUUUUUAUCCUUACUCUAAUAAAUGUGAAAAGAGAUUAAUAUCAAAUGGAGAUCAAAUAAUGAAUAAGGUGAAUUAGUCAAAUUAUAAUUCUAAUUCACGUUUCCUUAAAAAAUCAUGCAAAACACAACAUGACAAGUAAAAUGAACUAAAUCGAGAAUAUUUACCAAAAAUUAAAAAAUAGCAUUUCUUCGUUUAAAUAGAAAAUCAAUUUCUACUUUGUUUCGUUUCAAACAUGUAAAAUUAAUUUAAUAAUUUGAAUUAGAAUUAUUCAAAUCAAAAUUUGACAAAAAAUAAUAAGUAUUUUACACCUUUAAAUUAAUCGAAUUAAAAUUGAAAAUAUCAAUUGAUGCUUAAAUAUUGCUAUUGUUUUAUCUCAAAGAGAGGAAAAUAGUUUUCUUUUAAACAAGUCUUCUCUUUUAAAAAGUAUUAAUAAUUUUUCGUAACAAACACGAAUGUAAUAUAGUUUUAGAUACGGAGCACAAAACCCAUGCUUCGUGUGUGUAUAUAUAUAUAUAUAUAUAUAUAUAUAUAUUAUCACUAUCCAAAUACAACUAUAUAUACAUAGAUACACUAUAAUCUAAAGUGUUGGGCCCGUGCGCAACACGGGCAUAGAUUACCCAUGCUUCGUUGUCCGUUUCCACUGGAAAAAAAAAAGGUAUGGGCUCCACCUAAACAUCAACCAAUAUUAAAAAAAAGCGUGGGCCCCAAAUAAAUACCAACCAAUAUUAAAAAAAAAAAAAUGGAACCGCCAUCUCCAAACUCAAGGAAAAAAAAGUGGACCCCAUAUUAACAAAAUCAAGCAAUUUUAAAAAAAAAAAUGAAUCCCAUAUGAAAAAGAAAACAAUGUAAAAAAAAAAUGCAUCCCAUAUUAAAAAAUUAAACAAUAUUUAUGUAAUUUCUAAAAUAUCUCAUUAAAUCAAUAAUGAUUGAUUAAAAAAGUGGACCCCAUAUUAACAAAAUCAAGCAAUAUUAAAAAAAUGAAUCCCAUAUUAAAAAAACAAACAAUUAAUUUCUAAAGUAUCUCAUUAAAUCAAUAAUGAUGGAUUAAAAAAGUGGACCCAUAUUAACAAAAUCAAGCAAUAUUAAAAAAUUGAAUCUCAUAUUAAAAAAACAAACAAUGUCAAAAAAAAAAAUGCAUCUCAUAUUAAAAAAUCAAACAAUAUUUAUAUAAUUACCAAAGUAUCUCAUUAAAUCAAUAAUGAUGGAUUCAUUGCCACAUGCGUAUCAAUCCAUUAGUGAGAGCAAAUGAAAUUAUUGUACAACAACAUACUUAAAAUACUUAUAUAUUAAAAUAAGAUAGAAUUAAUUACUUUCAUAAAUGUGAAAAGAGAUUAAUGUCAUAAAAUAAAAAAUAAUAUUAAACAGAGAUCAAAUAAUUAAUAAGGUAAAUUAGUGAAAUUAUAAUUCUAAUUGACGUUUCCUUAAAAACCGUGCAAAAGAAAACAUGACAAGUAAAAUGAGUUAAACCAAAAAUAUUUACCAAAAAUUAAAAAAUAGUAGUUCUUCAUUUAAAUAGAAAAUCAAAUUUCUACUUUGUUUCAUUUUAAACAUGUAAAAUUAAUAUAAUAAUUUGAAUUAGAAUUAUCCAAAUCAAAAUUUGAUAAAAAAUAAUAGGUAUUGUUUAGGCCCAAUCUACAUACAUUAACAAUAGAAUAUUUUACACUUUUAAAUUAAUCGAAUUAAAAUUCAAAGUAUCAACGGUUUCCUUUUGAAUAAGUCUAUUAGUAAAUUUUUGCCAACUUUGUAUUCGUAGCAAACACUAAUAUAAUAAAGUUUUGGAUACGAAGAACAAACUACAAUGUUAUAUUAAUCGUGUUUUGAACAAUAUAUAUAUUACUUUACUACUAUAUAGAAGAGCCAGUUUAUAAGCAAGAUCGUCGUCCGUCCUUUGGUCCCACUUUUUUAUUUAAGGGCGAAAAAAUCCUUUGUGGUCCCACCCACUUUUUUAUUUAAGGCCAAAAAAAUGACAUUUUAUACUUUAUAUUACCAACUCUUUUAAAAAGUAGAUAGAAAUACUUUAUUAUAUUUCUAUUUUUCUACUAUAUAUAAGCAUCGGUUUACCCAUGUUUUGUCGUCAGUCACUCUUAAAAAAAAUGCUUCUAUAAAAAAAGUGCUUCUAUAUAGUAAAAAAAAAAAAAAAUGGACCCCACCCUCUCCAAAUUCAUUAAAAAAAAGAUUGAUGCCGCCCUCUCCAAACUCAUAAAAAAAGUGAAUCCCAUAUUAAAAAAAAAAAACAAUGUCAAAAAAAAUACGUGCACCCCAUAUAUUAAAAAAUCAAACAAUAUUCAUGUAAUUCCCAGAGCAUCCCCAUCAAGUCAAUAAUAGUGGAUUCAUUGCUACAUGUGUAUUAACUCAUUAGUGAGAGCAAAUAAAAUUAUUGCACAACAAAAAAUAUGGACCGCAUAUUAUUGUUUUUCUUCAAAAGGUUUAGUAGGCAAAUACAUACAAUUUUCUUUUUUUUCUUAUAUUAGCCUGAGAUCUAAUCUAGAUAUAUAAUUGUUGUAUUUGCUAUUCCGCCAUGUCAUUUAUUUGUUAUGAUUACUAAAAUAAAUAUACUUAAAAUAUUUAUAUUUUAAAAUAAGAUAGAAUUUAAUUACUUUUUCAUUUUUAUUCUUACUCUAAUAGAUGUGAAAAGAGAUUAAUAUCAAAUGGAGAUCAAAUAAUGAAUAAGGUAAAUUAGUCAAACUAUAAUUCUAAUUCACGUUUUCUUAAAAAAUCAUGCAAAAGACAACAUGACAAGUAAAAUAAACUAAACCGAGAACAUUUACCAAAAAUUAAAAAAUAGCAUUUUUUUCGUUUAAAUAGAAAAUCAAUUUCUACUUUGUUUCGUUUCAAACAUGUAAAAUUAAUUUAAUAAUUUGAAUUAGAAUUAUCCAAAUCAAAAUUUGAUAAAAAAAUAAUAAGUAUUUUACACUUUUAAAUUAAUCGAAUUAAAAUUGAAAGUAUUAAUUGAUGCUUAAAUAUUGCUAUUGUUUUAUCUCAAAGAGAGGAAAAUAGUUUUCUUUUAAACAAGUCUUCUCUUUUAAAAAGUAUUAAUAAAUUUUUGUAGCAACCACGAAUAUAAUAAAGUUUUAGAUACGGAGCACAAACUCAUGCUUCGUGUGUGUGUGUGUGUGUGUGUAUAUAUAUAUAUAUAUAUAUAUAUAUAUAUAUAUAUAUAUAUUAUCACUAUCCAAAUACAACUACAUAUACAUAAAUAUACUAUAAUGUAAAGUGUUGGGCCCGUGCGCAGCACGGGCAUAAGCCAUCUAGUUUUUUUAAGAAAAGUGGGGUCUUAAAGGUUAUCAUUUGAUUUGGAUUAAUUGGGUCAUGGAAUUGAUUAUUGGAGUAAUUAAAUGAGUUAAUCGCGUGGGGUUGAGAUUUUAAUUAAUCAAAUGGGCCGCAUGCUGUUCGGCUAAAAUUGAAAGAAGAAUUUUGGGCUUAACAUUAAUUUCAUCCAUGUCUUUGAUUGUUGGGUUGAUAGGCAAAUUUAGGACCAUUUAAUUUCUUGUGCGCUUUUACUCACUUUCGAAUAUUAUGUAUUUAUCCGGGGAAUGCCCUGAAAUACUUUGUAAAAUUGGAGGCCGUAAGCGGAGAAGACCCCGGGAUGUCGGGAAUAGCUUAGUAUAAGUUUAGCAUAGGGUAGUAUAGGUUUAUUUUCUCGCAUUUUUAUUUUUUUUUAAUUUUUAUUUCAGGUUGUAAUAAUUUAGACUUUAUUUUUUGAGCUUUUCUCGUGUGUGUUUGUUUUAUGUGAGUUUACGUGAUUGAGUUUCUAUUUAAGCUAA